AAAUAGAACUUUGCAGAGAGAGUUAACAGGGCGUGAAACCGUUAAUUGGCAAACGAAUCGGAGCCACGAAGUCGUUUCGUUGAAGUUGGGGCCGAGUUCAGUCUAGGAGAGAUCUUGGGCGUAUUCUCGUGUUCAACCUUCUUUGUAAGCGUACACUGCAACUAGUUAGACAAUUGGAGAUGGGCCCAGUCUCUGGUAGUAGUAGUGUGAUAGUCUUCGGGCUAUUGUGUUGCUGACCAGGCGAUGAGUGAACUAUUUCCAAAUACUGACUAGCAAAAUGAAAAUCGCCACUUGUGGCGUUAUACAGAAUGCAGUUGUCUACAUUAGUGUCUACAUGCUUGACCAUGUGCUUUUAAGUUCGGUAGUCUUGAAUUUGGACUUGCUAGCUACCAGUGGGGCAACUCCUGGUGCUAGUAUAGCUUCCAUCUAAUCGGCUACUGACUUGAGUAUAUGUUGUUUGGGUAUGCUACGAUAGGAUGUUAAUGUAAGAUAAUGCGCAAUCUUAUUGGCAGUGAGUAGGUCGGCUUUCCGAACGACCCGUCUUGAAACACGGA
rnacentral:rRNA from 1 species